AGAGCAAGUGGUGGAUGCCUUGGCUAGUAGAGGCGAUGAAAGACGUGCCAGGCUGCGAUAAGUCUCGGGGAGCCGUCAAGGGGCUUUGAUCCGGGAAUUUCUGAAUGGGGCAACCCAGUUAAGCGCGAGCUUAACUACCUAAUAUGGAGCGAACGAGGGGAAUUGAAACAUCUUAGUACCCUCAGGAAAAGAAAUCAAAAGAGAUUACGCUAGUAGCGGCGAGCGAACGCGUAAGAGGGCAAACCACUAGUUUACUAGUGGGGUUGUAGGACUGCAAUAUAGACUAAACUUAGCUAAUAGAACAACCUGGAAAGGUUAGGCACAGAGGGUGAUACCCCCGUAUAUGAAAGCUUUGUUUUACUUAGCAGUAUCCUGAGUAGGGCGGAACACGUGAUAUUCUGUCUGAAGCUGGGUAGACCACUAUCCAACCCUAAAUACUACUACUAGACCGAUAGUGCACAAGUACCGUGAGGGAAAGGUGAAAAGAACUGAGGUGAUCAGAGUGAAAUAGAACCUGAAACCAUUUGCUUACAAUCAUUCAGAGCCCUAUGAUUUAUCAGGGUGAUGGACUGCCUUUUGCAUAAUGAGCCUGCGAGUUGUGAUGUCUGGCGAGGUUAAGGAAACCCGGAGCCGUAGCGAAAGCGAGUCUUAAUAGGGCGUUUAGUCAGACGUUGCAGACCCGAAACGAUGUGAUCUAUCCAUGAGCAGGUUGAAACCGGUGUAAGAGCCGGUGGAGGACCGAACCCGCUAGCGUUGAAAAGCUAUGGGAUGACUUGUGGAUAGGGGUGAAAGGCCAAUCAAACAUCGUGAUAGCUGGUUCUCUCCGAAAUAUAUUUAGGUAUAGCGUCAUGUAGUAACACUAGGGGGUAGAGCACUGAAUGGGCUAGGGCAUACACCAAUGUACCAAACCCUAUCAAACUCCGAAUACCUAGUGUGUAAUCAUGGCAGUCAGGCGGCGAGUGAUAAAAUCCGUCGUCGAGAGGGGAACAACCCAGACUAACAGCUAAGGUCCCUAAAUCUCAUUUAAGUGGAAAACGAUGUGGAGUUACUUAAACAACCAGGAGGUUGGCUUAGAAGCAGCCAUCCUUUAAAGAAAGCGUAAUAGCUCACUGGUCUAGUGAUUCUGCGCGGAAAAUAUAACGGGGCUAAAAUGAGUACCGAAGCUUUAGACUUAGUUUUACUAAGUGGUAGGAGAGCGUUGUAUUUGCGUUGAAGGUAUACCGGUAAGGAGUGCUGGAGCGAAUACAAGUGAGCAUGCAGGCAUGAGUAGCGAUAAUUGGGGUGAGAAUCCCCAACGCCGUAAACCCAAGGUUUCCUACGCGAUGCUCGUCAUCGUAGGGUUAGCCGGGUCCUAAGCAAAGUCCGAAAGGGGUAUGCGAUGGAAAAUUGGUUAAUAUUCCAAUGCCAACUAUAAUGUGCGAUGGAAGGACGCUUAGAGUUAGAGGAGCCAGCGGAUGGUAGUGCUGGUCGAAAGGUGCAGGUUGGAGUUCAGGCAAAUCCGAACUCCUUUAAGCCGAGGCCUUAUAGGUGCGUGAAGUUCUUCGGAAUGAAUCGUAAAUCCUUGAUACUGUCGAGCCAAGAAAAGUUUCUAAGUUUAGUUAUAGUUGCCCGUACCGUAAACCGACACAGGUGGGUGGGAUGAGUAUUCUAAGGCGCGUGGAAGAACUCUCUUCAAGGAACUCUGCAAAAUAGCACCGUAUCUUCGGUAUAAGGUGUGCCUAACUUUGUGAAGGAUUUACUCCGUAAGCAUUGAAGGUUACAACAAAGAGUCCCUCCCGACUGUUUACCAAAAACACAGCACUCUGCUAACUCGUAAGAGGAUGUAUAGGGUGUGACGCCUGCCCGGUGCUCGAAGGUUAAUUGAUGACGUUAGCUCUGCGAAGCGUUUGAUCGAAGCCCGAGUAAACGGCGGCCGUAACUAUAACGGUCCUAAGGUAGCGAAAUUCCUUGUCGAUUAAAUAUCGACCUGCAUGAAUGGCGUAACGAGAUGGGAGCUGUCUCGAAGAGGGAUCCAGUGAAAUUGUAGUGGAGGUGAAAAUUCCUCCUACCCGCGGCAAGACGGAAAGACCCCGUGGACCUUUACUACAGCUUGACACUGCUAUUGGGAUAAAAAUGUGCAGGAUAGGCGGGAGGCUUUGAUCCAUAGACGCCAGUUUAUGGUGAGCCAUUGUUGAGAUACCGCUCUUUUUUAUUCUGAUAGCUAACUAGCUUGAGUUAUCCUCAAGUAGGACAAUGUCUGGUGGGUAGUUUGACUGGGGCGGUCGCCUCCCAAAAUGUAACGGAGGCUUACAAAGGUUGGCUCAGAACGGUUGGAAAUCGUUCGUAGAGUAUAAAGGCAUAAGCCAGCUUAACUGCGAGACAUACACGUCAAGCAGAGACGAAAGUCGGUCUUAGUGAUCCGGUGGUUCUGUGUGGAAGGGCCAUCGCUCAAAGGAUAAAAGGUACCCCGGGGAUAACAGGCUGAUCUCCCCCAAGAGCUCACAUCGACGGGGAGGUUUGGCACCUCGAUGUCGGCUCAUCGCAUCCUGGGGCU
rnacentral:rRNA from 1 species